GUCCCCGUAGCUCAGUCUGGAUAGAGCGUCCGCCUCCUAAGCGGAAGGUCGGCAGUUCGAGUCUGCCCGGGGACGCCA
rnacentral:tRNA from 1 species